rnacentral:rRNA from 1 species
AUUGAACGCUGGCGGCAGGCCUAACACAUGCAAGUCGAGCGGUAGAGCGAAGCUUGCUUCUCUUGAGAGCGGCGGACGGGUGAGUAAUGCCUAGGAAUCUGCCUGGUAGUGGGGGAUAACGUUCGGAAACGGACGCUAAUACCGCAUACGUCCUACGGGAGAAAGCCGGGGACCUUCGGGCCUUGCGCUAUCAGAUGAGCCUAGGUCGGAUUAGCUAGUUGGUGGGGUAAUGGCUCACCAAGGCGACGAUCCGUAACUGGUCUGAGAGGAUGAUCAGUCACACUGGAACUGAGACACGGUCCAGACUCCUACGGGAGGCAGCAGUGGGGAAUAUUGGACAAUGGGCGAAAGCCUGAUCCAGCCAUGCCGCGUGUGUGAAGAAGGUCUUCGGAUUGUAAAGCACUUUAAGUUGGGAGGAAGGGCAGUAAAUUAAUACGUUGCUGUUUUGACGUUACCGACAGAAUAAGCACCGGCUAACUCUGUG